CCUGCGCGGGCCGCGGCGCCCGCGCGCUGCCACCUGGCGGCCAAGGGCCCGCACAGCACCCGCAGCCUGCUUCCCAACGAAUUCGGAAAGUUUUAAACCUUUACAACGAGUGAGUGGAGAAUGCGUGUUUGACUAAACAUACAGCAUUUAUGCUCACAUGAGAGCAAGAGGGACAGAGAAGCAGUAAAACCUGAGUAGGGCACUUGGAAGUUUGACAGUUCAUCAAAUUCAUAACAAGAGACUUACUGUAAUGCAUAAACCAGUAAAGCUGACACAGAGAUGAUGACUGGAAAACAACAGAAUCCCUAAUGUCUGCCCUGUAUAGUACUGCUUCAACACAAGGAAUGAGGAAAUGUGUGUCAGAAGAAAUCUGGUUUUCCCUGUAGGGUGGUAGAAA